rnacentral:rRNA from 1 species
UACGUAGGGCGCAAGCGUUAUCCGGAAUUACUGGGCGUAAAGGGCUCGUAGGUGGCCAACUAAGUCAGACGUGAAAUCCCUCAGCUUAACUGGGGAACUGCGUCUGAUACUGGAUGGCUUGAGUUUGGGAGAGGGAUGCGGAAUUCCAGGUGUAGAGGUGAAAUUCGUAGAUAUUCGGAAGAACACCAGUGGCGAAGGCGACUUACUGGACACAUAUUGACGCUGAGGUGCGAAAGCGUGGGGAGCAAACAGG